ensembl:miRNA mir729 microRNA 729
CGUCAAGGGCCAUCCAGUGACCCGGGGUUGUAUUGUAACCAAGCUGUAAGUGUCCAUGAUGCAUGGGUAUGAUACGACCUGGGUUACAGAAUGGUGAUG